rnacentral:rRNA from 1 species
CGUGGCGGCAGCCCGGUGAGACAGGCCUCGCUGCAUGGGGCUAGGCGCCGUUCAGCUGAGAGCCUCACUCCACAGGCCUCUCCUUCGCUCUCACCAACCACGGUGCUGCCGCCCUCGCCCCGCUGCAAGUGCGGUGAACUUGAGAGCGCUGCUCUCGCUUCCAGAAUCGCUGCUGUCAGCCCGCAGGUGGCCCUGCUCUGUUCCCCGGCGUGCAUGGCCACUCCAUCCCCAACUGUCUCACGUCCUCCUGGGUUUGAAGCUUCGCCAACACCGCCCCUUCUCUUCAGCACGACGCCCAGGCGUACACCCCCCCUGAUGCCUGGGGCUGCUAUGGUGGAGAGCUCAAUUCCAAUGGGAUUGGAGGCUCUGUUUCAGCCAAGGCAACGACCUUUGCUUCCCUCGCCGGUUUCCUCCCCAGUCAAGGCCCCAAUGCGCAGGCGCAAGACCCUGGCUGGCAUGCACAUCACCACCAAUGGUGGGUUCUCGCUGAGACGCAACAGUGCGCGGAUCAUGGCUCGCAGCGCUGGCGUUGCCACUGCCAUGGCCAAGGAAGCGCAGGGGCUGCUCUGCUGCUUGAUUGGCAUUGUGCAAGACGGGGAAGAUAUCACAGACAAGGCAUUAAAGGUGUUCGAAGACCAAUUCAAGGAGCAACUC